GCGAACGACUCACUUAAAUAAUGGUUCCAGCGAUUAGCACGUUCCCUCGACGUCAUGAAGUCUGUUGUAUUUCCAAAGUUAUGAAAAGGGCUCCAUGGUCAUGGCCACUUUUAGACUGUGUUGAUCUCCUUUGAAAGAAGAUCUCCAUACAAAUGUAUACAUGUAGGAUAUUACCAAAAUUCAUAAGGAGAAGAAGAUUGCUGAGUGGUGGGUGUGCUUUUGGAUUUCACCGAUUGUCGGAAAAGAAUAUUUGUGAUCAUCACGACCGGAGCAAACAGUCUCAAGGGAGAAUGACUGAAAAGAAUUUUAAAUAAAGAGGCU